GAUGAAGAACGCAGCGAAAUGCGAUAAGUAAUGCGAAUUGCAGAAUUUAGUGAGUCAUCGAAUCUUUGAACGCACAUUGCGCCCUGUGGUAUUCCGCAGGGCAUGCCUGUUCGAGCGUCAUUUCAACCCUCAAGCUCUGCUUGGUGUUGGGCCCUGCCCGCUGCGGCCGGCCCUAAAGACAGUGGCGGUGCCGCCUGGCCCUGAGCGUAGUACAUCUCUCGCUCCAGUGCCCGGUGGUAGCCUGCCAGAACCCCAACUCUCGUGGUUGACCUCGGAUCAGGUAGGGAUACCCGCUGAACUUAAGCAUAUCAAUAAGCGGAGGA
rnacentral:misc_RNA from 1 species